UACGUAGGGUGCGAGCGUUAAUCGGAAUUACUGGGCGGUAAAGCGUGCGCAGGCGGUUCGUCGUGUCCGAUGUGAAAGCCCCGGGCUCAACCUGGGAAUGGCAUUGGAAACUGGCGGACUCGAGUGUGGCAGAGGGGGGUGGAAGUUCCGCGUGGUAGCAGUGAAAUGCGUAGAGAUGCGGAGGAACACCGAUGGCGAAGGCAGCUCGUUGGGGA
rnacentral:rRNA from 1 species